AAGAAAUUAGUUAAAACAUAACAUUAGUAUGUCAUACUAAAAUUAUUAAUAUAUUAAUAUUUCUUU
rnacentral:tRNA from 1 species